UACCUCUUCCACAUCACUACUGUAGACGGUAAGAGGUAAGGGGGGCAGGGUUUUUUCCCCCUGUACAGUAAUAUCAAUCAUGGAACUAUUCUGAUUUUUUUGUAAUUAUACAACAUGAAAUUCAACACUUUACACUCACCAUCCAAGAAUAACAGAAACAUCUGGAGAGUAUUUUUAGAAAAAUAUAAUAUUCAUAAUGACUUCAUAGAUACCAACCCUACAGUGGUUAUUCGUGUAAAAGUUGCAUCAUACUGCAGCACACCAUGCGGUCCGCUGCAAAAUUCUAUGGCACAUUAUUUAAUUGUCAACCAGUGUUGCCAUUAAUGAUAGUUAGUGCUAGUUUGACCACCAAAGGGCAUCUUUGAGAAGCAUUUGAUUGUCUUCAAUAUUGGCUGUACUAGAGAAUUUGAAAACUUUUUUGUAAGAACACCGUAUAUGGGAUUGGCUUUAAGAAAUGUAGCUUAAUUCAUUUGAUUAAUGAAAUGGUGGUUCUAUUCCAAGAAAAAUGAAAAAACAAAACCCUCAGGGUUUCCGUUAGGAAGAUAUUGCGCUGUAAAAUGUGACGGUAGGGAGUAGGCUACAGUACUAAGAGCAUAACAUUUCCAUACCCUAAUUUUAGUCUAACCAAUACCCAAACAGAGAUUCAGUGAACUUAAAAAUCUCAUUGAUUUAUCAAGAGCAGUCCCAUUGCUUGUCUUAGAGCAGCGCUGUCUUGACCUCUGAAUGCUGUCUUUUCUCCUUCCACUUGCCUCUUCUUUUAAUUUUGAAAGAGUAUUUUCCAGUAAGCAUAAUCAAUGCUCUAACUCCCCCUUGAAGCAGUGACGCAGGGCGCCGCACUAAACCUCAAAUUACCUCUAAAUCCCGCAGCAUAAUCUCAAAACGUUUAGUUGAACAACCAAUGUAAGUGUUACCAACCCACACACUGGGUAGCUUUGUCUCACAUUGCCAUACCUCCAAAAUCACGUCUUUGUCACAUCUCCCUUGGAAGUCUUUAGAAUUUUGUGUUACAAAAACAGUUUGAUUGGAUGUUACAUUUCAAGAACCCUCCCUCCACACCCCCUUAGAAGGGGUGCUGUGUGUUAUGUGUGUCACUGCUUUCCGUCUGGCUAGUUGUUGCCUCUGCUAGUUUCAAGGGCUAGUUAUCAAGUGUGGCCGACAGUCUGUGAUUUGUAUUUAUUGAAAUUAAAAGUGGAUUACUCUGGUAAAGUCAAACGUCACAACACAUUUUUUCUUCCAUGUCUCCAUUCAUCCACAUGGCUGCAAUUGCUGCAAUUCGGUACCACCUAAAGUAUUAAGAAGAUUGGCGAUUAUUUUGUUUUUGUAUGGACCCAAAAAACAGAUGCAGUGGGAAAACCUAUUCAAGCUCAAAAUGGCUCAAUGAUGGCCAUCCCAUGCGAGAAAUUGCAGAGAAACUGAAGAUCUCGUACAACGCUGUGUACUACUCCCUUCACAGAACAGCUCAAACGGGCUCUAACCACAAUAGAAAGAGAAGUGGGUGGUCGCCAUGCACAGCUGAGCAAGAGGACAACUACAUUAGAGUGUCUAGUUUGGGAAAGAGACGCCUCACAUGUCCUCAACUGGCAGCUUCAUUAAAUAGUACCUGCAAAACACCAGUCUCAACAUCAACAUUGAAGAGGCGACUCUGGGAUGCUGAUGUGUUUAAAUAUGUUGUAAUUGUUAACCUAUUAUUCAAAAUGAACUAGUGUCAAGAUUGAUUAAUCACAUAUCACAAUCCUGCAAUAAAGAGGGGAAGGGGUUCUGUCUCUAAUAUGUCUGUGUUUCUGUAUUGUAUUCUCAAAUAAACAUUUCCUUUUUGUCUA